GAGCGCGCCGUCCUGCCGGCUGCCCUGGCUCAGUUAUCACAGUGCUGAUGCUGUGUGCUCCAAAGGUACAGUACUGUGAUAACUGAAGGAUGGCAGCCACCUCGCGGCCACGCGCCC
rnacentral:pre_miRNA from 13 species